rnacentral:rRNA from 1 species
UGUGACCCCAGGAUGGGCGAGGCCACCCGCCGAGUUUAAGCAUAUCAAUAAGCGGAGGAGAAGAAACUUACAAGGAUUCCCCUAGUAACGGCGAGCGAACCGGGAUAGGCCCAGCAUUGGAAUCGAGCUGCCAUGCAGUAGCUUGAAUUGUAGUCUGGAGAAGCGUCCUCAGCGACGGACCGGGCCCAAGUCCCCUGGAAAGGGGCGCCGGGGAGGGUGAGAGCCCCGUUCGGCCUGAACCCUGUCGCAACACGAGGCGUUGUCGGCGA